AUUCGCGGCCUAUCAGCUUGUUGGCGGGGUAACGGCCCACCAAGGCGACGACGGGUAGCCGGCCUGAGAGGGCGACCGGCCACACUGGAACUGAGACACGGUCCAGACUCCUACGGGAGGCAGCAGUGGGGAAUAUUGCACAAUGGGCGAAAGCCUGAUGCAGCAACGCCGCGUGGGGGAUGAAGGCCUUCGGGUUGUAAACCCCUUUCAGUAGGGAAGAAGCGAAAGUGACGGUACCUGCAGAAGAAGCGCCGGCUAACUACGUGCCAGCAGCCGCGGUAAUACGUAGGGCGCAAGCGUUGUCCGGAAUUAUUGGGCGUAAAGAGCUCGUAGGCGGUUUGUCGCGUCUGCUGUGAAAACCCGAGGCUCAACCUCGGGCCUGCAGUGGGUACGGGCGGACUAGAGUGUGGUAGGGGAGAUUGGAAUUCCUGGUGUAGCGGUAAAAUGCGCAGAUAUCAGGAGGAACACCUAUGGCGAAGGCAGAUCUCUGGGCCACAACUGACGCUGAGGAGCGAAAGCGUGGGGAGCAAACAGGAUUAGAUACCCUGGUAGUCCACGCCGUAAACGGUGGGCACUAGAUGUGGGGCUCAUUCCACGAGUUCCGCGUCGCAGUUAACGCAUUAAGUGCCCCGCCUGGGGAGUACGGAAUCGUCGACCCUGCCCGGGCACA
rnacentral:rRNA from 1 species